rnacentral:rRNA from 1 species
AACGAACGCUGGCGGCAGGCCUAACACAUGCAAGUCGAACGAAGUCUUCGGACUUAGUGGCGCACGGGUGAGUAACACGUGGGAAUAUACCUUACGCUGGGGGAUAACAUCGGGAAACUGAUGCUAAUACCGCAUACGCCCUUCGGGGGAAAGAUUUAUCGGCGAAAGAUUAGCCCGCGUCCGAUUAGCUAGUUGGUGAGGUAAUGGCUCACCAAGGCUCCGAUCGGUAGCUGGUCUGAGAGGAUGACCGGCCACACUGGGACUGAGACACGGCCCAGACUCCUACGGGAGGCAGCAGUGGGGAAUAUUGGACAAUGGGCGCAAGCCUGAUCCAGCCAUGCCGCGUGAGUGAUGAAGGCCUUAGGGUUGUAAAGCUCUUUCACCCACGACGAUGAUGACGGUAGUGGGAGAAGAAGCCCCGGCUAACUUCGUG